GGGGAUGUAGCUCAGUGGUAGGGCACUUGCCUAGCAUGCAUAAGGCCCUGGGUUCAAUCCCCAGCACCACCA
rfam:Ictidomys tridecemlineatus contig018493, whole genome shotgun sequence.